AGAGUUUGAUCCUGGCUCAGGACGAACGCUGGCGGCGUGCCUAACACAUGCAAGUCGAGCGGAGGCAAUAGCAAUAUUGUCUUAGCGGCGGACGGGUGAGUAACGCGUGGGCAACCUGCCUAUCACAGGGGGAUAACACAGGGAAACUUGUGCUAAUACCGCAUAAUACAGCGAGAAAGCAUUUUCUUGUUGUCAAAGGA
rnacentral:rRNA from 1 species